CACCCGAGACUCAGUGAAAUUGAACUCGCUGUGAAGAUGCAGUGUACCCGCGGCAAGACGGAAAGACCCCGUGAACCUUUACUAUAGCUUGACACUGAACAUUGAGCCUUGAUGUGUAGGAUAGGUGGGAGGCUUUGAAGUGUGGACGCCAGUCUGCAUGGAGCCGGCCUUGAAAUACCACCCUUUAAUGUUUGAUGUUCUAACGUGGACCCGUGAUCCGGGUUGCGGACAGUGUCUGGUGGGUAGUUUGACUGGGGCGGUCUCCUCCUAAAGAGUAACGGAGGAGCACGAAGGUUGGCUAAUCCUGGUCGGACAUCAGGAGGUUAGUGCAAUGGCAUAAGCCAGCUUGACUGCGAGCGUGACGGCGCGAGCAGGUGCGAAAGCAGGUCAUAGUGAUCCGGUGGUUCUGAAUGGAAGGGCCAUCGCUCAACGGAUAAAAGGUACUCCGGGGAUAACAGGCUGAUACCGCCCAAGAGUUCAUAUCGACGGCGGUGUUUGGCACCUCGAUGUCGGCUCAUCACAUCCUGGGGCUGAAGUAGGUCCCAAGGGUAUGGCUGUUCGCCAUUUAAAGUGGUACGCGAGCUGGGUUUAGAACGUCGUGAGACAGUUCGGUCCCUAUCUGCCGUGGGCGCUGGAGAACUGAGGGGGGCUGCUCCUAGUACGAGAGGACCGGAGUGGACGCAUCACUGGUGUUCGGGUUGUCAUGCCAAUGGCACUGCCCGGUAGCUAAAUGCGGAAGAGAUAAGUGCUGAAAGCAUCUAAGCACGAAACUUGCCCCGAGAUGAGUUCUCCCUGACCCUUUAAGGGUCCUGAAGGAACGUUGAAGACGACGACGUUGAUAGGCCGGGUGUGUAAGCGCAGCGAUGCGUUGAGCUAACCGGUACUAAUGAACCGUGAGGCUUAACCUUACAACGCCGAAG
rnacentral:rRNA from 1 species